GUGCUCACUUCGGUAGCACAUACACUAAAACUGAAACAAUACAGAGAAAAUUAGCAUGGCUCCUGCGCAAAAAUAACAUGCAAAUUCAUGGGGAGUUCCAUUAGUUU
rnacentral:snRNA from 1 species